GUUGAGAUGGCCGAGUUGGUCUAAGGCGCCAGAUUAAGGUUUUGGUCCGAAAGCCCCUCUCAACACAUUUCGCUUUUUUUACUUUAUCGAUGGCAAAUCGGUUAAACACAUAUCGUUUCUCGUUAUUAUUUUUACCUAUUUGUCUGAACGACAUUAUUGUUACAAACGGCGUGGGUUUAAAUCCCACUCUCAACA
rnacentral:tRNA from 1 species